GACGAACGCUGGCGGCGUGCUUAACACAUGCAAGUCGAACGGAAAGGCCCUGCUUGCAGGGUACUCGAGUGGCGAACGGGUGAGUAACACGUGGGUGAUCUGCCCUGCACUUCGGGAUAAGCCUGGGAAACUGGGUCUAAUACCGGAUAGGAGCCAUUUUUAGUGUGAUGGUUGGAAAGUUUUUUCGGUGUAGGAUGAGCUCGCGGCCUAUCAGCUUGUUGGUGGGGUAAUGGCCUACCAAGGCGGCGACGGGUAGCCGGCCUGAGAGGGUGGACGGCCACAUUGGGACUGAGAUACGGCCCAGACUCCUACGGGAGGCAGCAGUGGGGAAUAUUGCACAAUGGGCGCAAGCCUGAUGCAGCGACGCCGCGUGGGGGAUGACGGCCUUCGGGUUGUAAACGCCUUUCGCUAGGGAUGAAGCUUUUUGUGACGGUACCUAGAUAAGAAGCACCGGCUAACUACGUG
rnacentral:rRNA from 1 species